rnacentral:misc_RNA from 1 species
ACAAGAAAAAUAAGAUAUGCUGUGUGAAUGGGAAACAUGUGAAUGCGUAUUCUUGUUUUUGCUUGUUUUAAAGUGAGUCUGCUGUGUUUUGAUGCUGUUUGUGUAAGUACGACAAGAUUGUGUUCCUGAUUUUCUGAGAACAUGAAUAAGUAUUUAACAAGAGAUAUAAUUUUCGACUUGAAUGAUGAUUCAUCUCAUCGAUGGAAAGAAAUUUUAAAAUACAGUAUGGAGAUCGCUUGGGAGUAG